ensembl:snRNA U1 U1 spliceosomal RNA
AUACUUACCUGGCAGGGGAGAUACCCUGAUCACAAAAGUGGUUUUUCCAGGGUGAGGCUUAUCUAUUGUACUCCAGAUGUGCUGACCCCUGCGAUUUCCCCAAAUGUGGUAAACUCGACUGCCUAAUUUGUGGUAGCGGGGGAUGGCGUUCACACUUUCCCCUG